AUGAACGCUGGCGGCGUGCCUAAUACCUGCAAGUCGAGCGAACGGACGAGAAGCUUGCUUUUCUGAUGUUAGCGGCGGACGGGUGAGUAACACGUGGAUAACCUACCUAUAAGACUGGGAUAACUUCGGGAAACCGGAGCUAAUACCGGAUAAUAUUUUGAACCGCAUGGUUCAAAAGUGAAAGACGGUCUUGCUGUCACUUAUAGAUGGAUCCGCGCUGCAUUAGCUAGUUGGUAGGGUAACGGCUUACCAAGGCAACGAUGCAUAGCCGACCUGAGAGGGUGAUCGGCCACACUGGAACUGAGACACGGUCCAGACUCCUACGGGAGGCAGCAGUAGGGAAUCUUCCGCAAUGGGCGAAAGCCUGACGGAGCAACGCCGCGUGAGUGAUGAAGGUCUUCGGAUCGUAAAACUCUGUUAUUAGGGAAGAACAUAUGUGUAAGUAACUGUGCACAUCUUGACGGUACCUAAUCAGAAAGCCACGGCUAACUACGUG
rnacentral:rRNA from 1 species